GGCCUGGUGGAGUAGUGGCCACGCACUGGUCUAGCACACUAGACAUCUUGGGUUCGAAUCCCGGCAUAGCCA
rnacentral:tRNA from 1 species